UACAGAGGGUGCGAGCGUUGUCCGGAAUCACUGGGCGUAAAGGGCGCGUAGGUGGUGGCUUAAGCGUGCGGUGAAAGCUCGGAGCUCAACUCCGAGUCGGCCGUGCGAACUGGGCUCACUGGAGCAUAGUAGAGGCAGGUGGAAUUCCGGGUGUAGCGGUGGAAUGCGUAGAGAUGUGGAGGAAUACCGAUGGCGAAGGCAGCCUCCUGGGCCAACAUUGACGCUCAUGCACGAAAGCGUGGGGAGCAAACAGG
rnacentral:rRNA from 1 species